GGGCCUCUAGCUCAUCUGGUUAGAGCAACGGACUUUUAAUCCGUGGGUGCGGGGUUCGAGUCCCCGGGGGCCUA
rfam:Actinomyces sp. VTL4_2 Scaffold5, whole genome shotgun sequence.